GUUUGAUCCUGGCUCAGAACGAACGCUGGCGGCAUGCCUAACACAUGCAAGUCGAACGAACCCUUCGGGGUUAGUGGCGCACGGGUGCGUAACGCGUGGGAACCUGCCUUUAGGUUCGGAAUAACAGUUAGAAAUGACUGCUAAUACCGGAUAAUGUCUUCGGACCAAAGAUUUAUUGCCUUUAGAUGGGCCCGCGUUGGAUUAGAUAGUUGGUGGGGUAAUGGCCUACCAAGUCGACGAUCCAUAGCUGGUCUGAGAGGAUGAUCAGCCACACUGGGACUGAGACACGGCCCAGACUCCUACGGGAGGCAGCAGCGGGG
rnacentral:rRNA from 1 species